UCCUACGGGGGGCAGCAGUGGGGAAUAUUGCGCAAUGGGCGAAAGCCUGAUGCAGCGACGCCGCGUGAGUGAAGAAGUAUUUCGGUAUGUAAAGCUCUAUCAACAGGGAAGAAAAUGACGGUACCUGACUAAGAAGCCCCGGCUAACUACGUGCCAGCAGCCGCGGUAAUACGUAGGGGGCAAGCGUUAUCCGGAUUUACUGGGUGUAAAGGGAGCGUAGACGGCGAAGCAAGUCUGAAGUGGAAACCCAUGGCGCAACCCUGGGACUGCUUUGGAAAAUUUUUUGCU
rnacentral:rRNA from 1 species